rnacentral:rRNA from 1 species
UACGUAGGGGCGAGCGUUAUCCGGAAUUAUUGGGCGUAAAGCGCGCGCAGGCGGCUGAUUAAGUCAGGUGUGAAAGGCUGCGGCUCAACCGCAGAGCGGCACCUGAAAACUGGUCAGCUUGAGUGCAGGAGAGGGGAGCGGAAUUCCCGGUGUAGCGGUGGAAUGCGUAGAGAUCGGGAGGAACACCAGUGGCGAAGGCGGCUCUCUGGCCUGUAACUGACGCUGAGGCGCGGAAGCGUGGGGAGCAAACAGG